rnacentral:rRNA from 1 species
GGGUUGUGAGGUUAAGCGACUAAGCGUACACGGUGGAUGCCCUGGCAGUCAGAGGCGAUGAAGGACGUGCUAAUCUGCGAUAAGCGCCGGUAAGGUGAUAUGAACCGUUAUAACCGGCGAUUUCCGAAUGGGGAAACCCAGUGUGACUCGUCACACUAUCAUUAACUGAAUCCAUAGGUUAAUGAGGCGAACCGGGGGAACUGAAACAUCUAAGUACCCCGAGGAAAAGAAAUCAACCGAGAUUCCCCCAGUAGCGGCGAGCGAACGGGGAGGAGCCCAGAGCCUGAAUCAGCAUGUGUGUUAGUGGAAGCGUCUGGAAAGGCGCGCGAUACAGGGUGACAGCCCCGUACACAAAAGCGCAUGUGUUGUGAGCUCGAUGAGUAGGGCGGGACACGUGGUAUCCUGUCUGAAUAUGGGGGGACCAUCCUCCAAGGCUAAAUACUCCUGACUGACCGAUAGUGAACCAGUACCGUGAGGGAAAGGCGAAAAGAACCCCGGCGAGGGGAGUGAAAAAGAACCUGAAACCGUGUACGUACAAGCAGUGGGAGCACCCUUCGGGGUGUGACUGCGUACCUUUUGUAUAAUGGGUCAGCGACUUAUAUUCUGUAGCAAGGUUAACCGAAUAGGGGAGCCGGAGGGAAACCGAGUCUUAACCGGGCGUUAAGUUGCAGGGUAUAGACCCGAAACCCGGUGAUCUAGCCAUGGGCAGGUUGAAGGUUGGGUAACACUAACUGGAGGACCGAACCGACUAAUGUUGAAAAAUUAGCGGAUGACCUGUGGCUGGGGGUGAAAGGCCAAUCAAACCGGGAGAUAGCUGGUUCUCCCCGAAAGCUAUUUAGGUAGCGCCUCGUGAAUUCAUCUCCGGGGGUAGAGCACUGUUUCGGCUAGGGGGCCAUCCCGGCUUACCAACCCGAUGCAAACUGCGAAUACCGGAGAAUGUUAUCACGGGAGACACACGGCGGGUGCUAACGUCCGUCGUGAAGAGGGAAACAACCCAGACCGCCAGCUAAGGUCCCAAAGUCAUGGUUAAGUGGGAAACGAUGUGGGAAGGCCCAGACAGCCAGGAUGUUGGCUUAGAAGCAGCCAUCAUUUAAAGAAAGCGUAAUAGCUCACUGGUCGAGUCGGCCUGCGCGGAAGAUGUAACGGGGCUAAACCAUGCAC